CUUGUGGUAGAAGCAAGUGCGCUUCUUUCCUCCCGUCUUGAAGCGGCGAAGGAAGGGGCGGGCCUGGUCCUUGCAUCUCAGGGGCUGAGGCUUAGCGGCCUCCCCUUUCCUCCCUUUGGUGGCGCGCGCACCCGGGCGCACCACACACACACGCACAUACAGAGGAGCCACGCGCGUGGCAGCGCCUCGGCCGCGAGGCUGUGCUGCCACUCCAGGGACGCCGCACACGGAGCGCACGCUGCUGCUGCUACUGCUGCUACUGCUGUUUCUGCUGUUUGUGCUGCGGCUGCUGCACGCUCGCCUUCCCGGCCCUGGAAUUAGCAUCCUCUCGUCCUUCUCCUCUUCCUCCUCCUCCGGCGUUUGGACUCAACCGACAAGCCUCCCACAGAAAGCCGGAGGACCACAUGAUUUAGACAUAUAUCCUAUCAAUUAUCUUCAUGGAAACAAGCAAGGAGACAAUGAUGCUUCAGCCAUCUGUUUAAGCUUGGUGAAGAAGAGGUCUGCGGUGAAAACAUCAUGAAAAGUAAUGUAUCUUCAACAGAUGGUCAGAGAUUCUUCUUCUUGUUGGUUGUUAUCUGUACUUGUAACAACAAAUUUAUUCUACACUCAAAAUCUGCAUAUAUUGUUUGUAUUGACAUUUUGAGGAGCAUGGAGAAUAACAGCUCUGAAUGGUAAUCCUCUAUAGACUCAAGUGGACUAUUUCUAAAGUACCCAGAAUUUUCUAGGUCUUUUUGUUUUAAUUGUAGCUGAAUAGUCACAGGGUUACAUCUAGUUCUUUCUUGAAAUUUGCUAGGUUUCUAUCCCUCCCAUUUGUCUGCCCCCCCCUCCCAUUAAUCAUGUGUCACAUUUAAUCCCAUGCAACUGAUUUUCACCCAUUUCCUUGGAGUCUUUAAAUGAAACUAGACCUAUGGUCAAAGUAUUAAACUGCUCUAAGAAUAUUAUACUAAGUAAUCAUUAGAGUAACAAUUAGAUAUCCUGGAGAUGGGACCCAAAAUUCAAAACAAAUUUGGUCCCAAGCUUUUCAGAAACUCGACUUGUAGGGAGAAGUGACAUUUUUCUAAACAUUUUAUUUUGCUUUGAUCCCCCGCCCCCGUGUUUCAAUUUAUGCCGACCUCUAAUUUAUAUAAAAGUAUAGCUUUAACUUUUAGUAAUUUAUAAUAGGGCAGGUCUAGUGCUCUUGCAGUGCCU
rnacentral:lncRNA from 11 species